rnacentral:lncRNA from 1 species
AAGGACAGAGCGCGUCGCUGGCCACCCGCGCCCGGCCCGCAAGACCUGUAGACCUCUCCCCACGCCCGCCCACCCUGCCAAGUUACCAGAGCGCUGGAGCCUGGAGGUGGCGCCCCAAGGCGGCGUGCUGGCGAGCUGCGGCCGAGCAGCCGGUGGCCUCAGCUCUGGUGCUCGUAUUAGCCAUGCAAAGUUAAUCCCGCCGCGUCACGCCGGCCGGCCGCCCGCCCAAGGCUGCGCCGUGCUCGGCCGAGCCGCAGUCUCCUCCCCGUUCCGCCCCCUCCGCCACGGGGUCCAGUACUGCGCGGGCUCCCGAGCGAGCCCUAUUCCCUUGACCUGUCAACUCUCCUCCAGCGCCGACGCUGAGGGGCGCAGCGUGGGUCCCAGGACACCGGCGACCUCUCUGCCGCGACCUGCGAGGGCGGCGAGAAAUAGACGUACAAAACCAGAAGACAAAAAUAAUCUCCACCCUGGAAGGGUUCUGCACUUGCAAGCAUAGCGCUGAAAUGUCCAUACCUCAAGUUCCGAAGGUCAGGUUGGGAGAAAACAGCGGGCGACAGUGUGCUGUUCCAGAUGACCCAGGCAGUCUUCCAGCUACGCCUUGGAGGUAGGUUUUAUUGGAAAAACGCAGAGUGCUCAGAGAACUCGCAGCCAAUGGGAAGUUAACAAUUGCGACAAAACUACUUUGAUUAAGGACCGAAUACAAUUAUGUUCUUAUGAACACUGUUAAAAAAAUACCUUGAAAAAUCUUUCUUCAACAUACUCUUGUAACACGGUAUAAAAGGGAAUGAUGUCUAGAUCAUUUUAAAGAGUUGUCUAGAUUUCCCCACGGGUGAUAAGGCCCCCCCGGGGGGGUUAUUUGGGCAGUCCACAGGAAAGGAGAAAGAAGAAAGGCCAACACACCUCCUGUCACAGCAUUAACAACUGUGGCAAGUCAGAAGCAGGACUCAGGAGAGAAAGCAGCUGCUAGAACGUUGCCUUUCCCGGCGGCCAGCACAGACUCGGCUGCCCUUUGAAUUCUUUGUAAGAAAUCCGUGUUUUAUUCCUCGCCCGGAAUGAAGCUUCACUAAGAACUUGCCGGCUCUAGAGUGAAGGUUGUUUUGCAGGCGAGUUCCUGGGCUUUGCUCCAAAGCUGCCUUGGGAGGUUUUGGUUGGUUUGGAGGAAAG